rnacentral:sRNA from 1 species
CUAUAAAAGUCCCAGACAGCAGCCAUGAGCCAGACCGUGUUCACACGGUCUGGCUCAUGGCUAUUGGACGGAUUAACCUGUAUGAACAAGAAGAGCGACAGCUCGGAUUGCGAAUACAGGUGGCGAUUGCGAGAACACUAAAGUACGGAGCAAUGGAUUUUUAUAU